UGUUGCAUAAUCAGGGUGAUUGGCACAGUAGCCCAGGCUGGUGAGAAUCACUCUUUGUAAAGCCAUGCCUUGAAAGCCUGCAUUCCCUACAUCAUCAAACAGCACCAGACAAUCUCAGAAAGACAGGUCGGGGAGGGACACAGGCCCCCUACCCUGGCCUUCAGCCUUGCUCACAAAACAGACAUGUAUCCUUUUGCACACGCGUGUAGAAGUGCAGGCUGAGGUGUGCUGAGAGGCCUGCUAGUGUCUUUACCAAAUUCUUUUUUCCCCCGCUUUUCUCAGAACAGGGUUUCUCUGUGUAGCCCUGGCUGUCCUGGAACUCUGUAGACCAGGCUGGCUUCAAACUCAGAGAUCCGCCUGCCUUUGCCUCCCAAGCACUGGGAUGAAAGGCUUGCCAUAUUCUUUUUACACAGAGCACAAAUGAUCAGGACUUUGGAGAACAUUUAAUGUUCAUAAACCACAAAGUCAGUAUGAAUUAGUGGUGACUCCCACACCUGAGUCCCUAAUGUUUAGGGUUCAAAUUUUCUCCUUUUAAAAAGACGGUGAUUACUUUUAAUUUUAAUUAAUCUUAACAACUUUUUCCUAUUCUAGGAGCAGUGAAAUAAUUUAAAAUUAACUUCUAUGCUGGAAACAUCUGAAAAUGUUUGAGAAUCCAGUCAUAUUUAAAAUAAACGACAUACAAGUCUUUUUUAAAAAUCUGAUUUUAAGGUCUUAAUUAAAACAGUUUUCCGUAAGCAUUUUUGUUUUCUGUGCUAUGUUUACUGUAGGAUUAAACAGAAUAUUGAACUAAGGAUACCCAGCUUGGCCAUAAUGAUGAGAAUGAGAAGAAAAUAGAAAUGUAUUCUUACACAGUGUGUUUAGAGGAUGUCGGAGCACUUGGGUUGGUCGUGUGCCUGCUCCUUCUCCUCACCCCACAAGUUCCUAACACAUUUAUACACUUUUGCAGGUAACCGUAGGCAUUUUACUGUGCUCACAGUGCAGCGGCAUUUCAGCCGCUAGACAACAUCUUUGCAGUUUGUAUCUCCCCUCACUGAGGGUUGCCUGCUAACCCAAAGGUCUGUGCUCACCUCACAAGAGUUAGACUAAAUGGCCAGAGAGGAGAGCGAGCAAGGGUGAUAGGUGUUUGCUUGGUACGCAGGAGGCAUUGGGGUCUCCACAUGGCAGGAAACAAAGCCGCACACACAGAGAAUUCUGCAAAGCUUUCACGCUAAAAACCUCAUUAAAAGACUUUGCAAAUGGAACGGGACUCCCUGACUUGGAGGAUACCGGAAACGUUAAUUGGAGAGGAGCGAGCGGGAGAGGCCCAGUGCGGGCGGCAGUGAGACUUUGCUUUCCUGGUAAGUUCAUUCCUCAAGAAAACCAGGAUAGCUGCAUGAUCUACUUUCUGGAUUAAACCAGUGCUAUCCCAUGGCCAGUUCUGCAGUUCCUGGCCCAGGCUUGUACAAGACACAGUUACAUCAGACAUAGGACCCAUAUCACGAGAUGGAUGUUCAGCUCCUGGGACAAUCCCUGCAGAGCCUCUCAAAUAUGACCACAAGCAGCACCCAGGUCAGCACCAUGGACAGCACCCCGGGACCGCAGUCAUUAUCAUCCUUAAACACCUUUGUAGAAAAACCAAGAUCCGUGGGAACGUACAAGAGCUUUUAAGUAACUGAGAGUAUCUGAAGAUUUUUUUAAAAAAAUCUUUACAAGAACC
rnacentral:lncRNA from 1 species